rnacentral:rRNA from 1 species
AACGAACGCUGGCGGCAUGCCUAACACAUGCAAGUCGAACGAAGUGUCGCACGGGUGCGUAACGCGUGGGAAGAUGCCCUUGGGUUCGGAAUAACAGCUGGAAACGGCUGCUAAUACCGGAUGCCUGAGGAUGAGCCCGCGUUGGAAUAGGUAGUUGGGGGGGUAAAGGCCUACCAAGCCGACGAUCCAUAGCUGGUCUGAGAGGAUGAUCAGCCACCCUGGGACUGAGACACGGCCCAGACCCCUCCGGGAGGUAGCAGUGGGGAAGAUCGGACAAUGGCCGAAAGCCUGAUCCAGCAAUGCCGCGUGAGUGAUGAAGGCCCUAGGGUUGUAAAGCUCUUUUACCCGGCAAGCUGUACCGGGAGAAUAAGCCCCGGCUAACUCCGUGCCAGCAGCCGCGGUAAUUC